GAAGGUGGACUGUGAGACUGGAUUUCUGAUCAUCACAAACAUCACAACUGAACACACUGGACGUUAUGAAGCAGAGAUCAUCAGAAGUGAGGGUUCAGGAAAAAGACAAAACUUGAACAGAACCUCCAAGUGUAACAGCACAAAAAUCAUCCACAAAAGUAGCAUCUUCGUUAGCAAGAUCAGUAAAUCAUUUCUCUCUGACUGUCAGUGGUGAGUCAUUUUAAUGUCAUUUUCCCUGUAAUAAUUGAACCGUGAUCUCCAGACCUCUUUAUUGUCUUUUCCUGUAUGUUAAUGAUUUGUUACAGUUUGGACCCUUUUUCUGAAUCCUUAACAGUCUUAAUUAUAACUCAUCACUCUGACUGGUUGAACAGCUGAUAUUAUUAGUGUGAAACUGCAGCUGAAAUGAACAGAACUGCUAUAAUAACUUAUUCCUUUCAAUAUCAAUUUGUGUGUUCUUAAAAGCUGACAAAAAUGAGGAAAAAACUCCAAGAUGUACCACAGGACCAAAAGAUUGACACAAGUGUGUGUGUGUCAUCCCCUUUUUUUUUUUUUUUUUUGGUCAAAUUAUUACAAAUCACACAAAGCAUAUUACGGUGUUAUUAUAAAAUCAUAUUGUUCUGAUUUGGAUCUAUGAGUAGCUACUUAGAGGCACAUCUGACGUCUUCUGGAAGCUGGUUUCAUCUCAUCAUGUUUUAAAUGAACUAGAUGUUAUGAACUGGUUUGAUCUUUGUAAUCUGAGAGCUCUUUGUUUUUAAACCAUCAAUAAUAUGAAAUAAUCUCUGUAUGUUAAUAGAUAAAUAAGUUUUUGACAUCUACACACUGGCCCUGUAAAGGUGUCCAGAGAAUAUAUAUACAGUGAAAAUAGCAUAAACACACUGUCAGAUUUCCUCACACUAAUGAUGGUCUGUCUUUAUCUGUUCCAGGUUCAGGUCUGUCUCCAGCUGUUCCUGGUUCAGGUCUGUCUCCAGCUGCUGUAGCAGGAGUUGUUGGUGUUGCUGUAGCUGCUGUAGCUCUUGUGGUGUGAUUUACUUUCACCGCAGGAGAUCCAGAAAUGACAUGAAGAAAAACAAACAAGUGCUAGAACUAGUGUCUAAGGAUGAGGUAAGAUACUGCACUACUGUAGUGUGUCUUUAGAUCUGUGUUUGAUUUCACCUGCACUGACAAAAUCAUCUCAAUAAGAAACACGUUUAAAACAGUUUAAUUCACUGACUGAUGACAGAUGUGCUGAUUUUCAGAGUUUCUGUGGCUGUAAAUAACACUGUUCAUUUCUCUUUCUUCACCUUCUGUGAAUCUUUCUUUUCUUACAGAAGCAGAAUGAAGAAAGGCACAUGAUCUGAGAAAAACGCAACAGCUUACGCUAAAAAAAUACAUAAUCUGACGUCAUUGACCAGAAGAACAGCAGCAGCUGCAGCAGCCACGCCCAUCAGAGCAGUGACCACCAAUCGCAUCACAGCUUCAACUGUUCACAACAACUGAUGUGGACUUCUGUAAAUGAAAUUGUCAAUGAAAAUUAAUUAUUUAAUAAAGUCAAUGUUUUUCAA